GCACCAUUAGCUCAGUUGGUAGAGCACCUGACUCUUAAUCAGGGUGUCCUGGGUUCGAGUCCCCGAUGGUGCACCA
rnacentral:tRNA from 1 species